UACGUAGGGUGCGAGCGUUAAUCGGAAUUACUGGGCGUAAAGCGUGCGCAGGCGGUUUUGUAAGCCAGAUGUGAAAUCCCCGGGCUCAACCUGGGAAUGGCAUUUGGGACUGCAAGGCUUGAGUGCGGCAGAGGAGACUGGAAUUCCUGGUGUAGCAGUGAAAUGCGUAGAUAUCAGGGGGAAUACCGAUGGCGAAGGCAGGUCUCUGGGCUGACACUGACGCUCAUGCACGAAAGCGUGGGGAGCAAACAGG
rnacentral:rRNA from 1 species